AAUGAACGCUGGCGGCGCGCCUAACACAUGCAAGUCGAACGAGAAAUCUCGAGCUUGCUCGAGAGAGUAAAGUGGCGCACGGGUGAGUAACGCGUGGGUAACCUGUCCUUAAAUUUGGGAUAAUCCACCGAAAGGUGGUCUAAUACCAGAUACAACUCGGAGAACCUUGGUUCUCCGGAUGAAAGCUGACCUCUUCAUGAAAGUUGCCGUUUGGGGAGGGGCUCGCGUACCAUUAGCUUGUUGGCGGGGUAAUGGCCUACCAAGGCUACGAUGGUUAGCUGGUCUGAGAGGAUGACCAGUCACACUGGAACUGAGACACGGUCCAGACUCCUACGGGAGGCAGCAGUGAGGAAUCUUGCGCAAUGGGGGAAACCCUGACGCAGCAACGCCGCGUGAGUGAUGAAGGCUCUUGGGUCGUAAAGCUCUGUCAAUAGGGAAGAAUCAUCUAUGGUUAAUAUCCAUAGUUGUUGACGGUACCUAUGAAGGAAGCACCGGCUAACUCCGUGCCAGCAGCCGCGGUAAUACGGGGGGUACAAGCGUUGUUCGGAAUUAUUGGGCGUAAAGAGCGUGUAGGCGGUUUGGUAAGUCAGAUGUGAAAGCCCUGGGCUCAACCCAGGAAGUGCAUUUGAUACUGCCCUACUUGAGUAUGGGAGAGGAGAGUGGAAUUCCCAGUGUAGAGGUGAAAUUCGUAGAUAUUGGGAAGAACACCCGUGGCGAAGGCGACUCUCUGGACCAAUACUGACGCUGAGACGCGAAAGCGUGGGGAGCAAACAGGAUUAGAUACCCUGGUAGUCCACGCCGUAAACGAUGAGAACUAGGUGUAGCGGGUAUUGACCCCUGCUGUGCCGGAGCUAACGCAUUAAGUUCUCCGCCUGGGGAGUACGGCCGCAAGGCUAAAACUCAAAGGAAUUGACGGGGGCCCGCACAAGCGGUGGAGCAUGUGGUUUAAUUCGAGGCAACGCGAAGAACCUUACCAGCUUUUGACAUCCCGGUCGCGGAUAGCAGAGAUGCUUUCCUUCAGUUCGGCUGGACCGGUGACAGGUGCUGCAUGGUUGUCGUCAGCUCGUGUCGUGAGAUGUUGGGUUAAGUCCCGCAACGAGCGCAACCCUUGCCUUUAGUUGCCAGCAUUUAGUUGGGCACUCUAGAGGGACUGCCGGUGAUAAGCCGGAGGAAGGUGGGGAUGACGUCAAAUCAUCCUGGCCCUUAUGGGCUGGGCUACACACGUGCUACAAUGGCGGUGACAGUGAGCAGCCACUCAGCAAUGGGGAGCUAAUCUCUAAAAGCCGUCUCAGUUCGGAUUGUUCUCUGCAACUCGAGAGCAUGAAGUUGGAAUCGCUGGUAAUCGUGGAUCAGCAUGCCACGGUGAAUACGUUCCCGGGCCUUGUACACACCGCCCGUCACACCAUGGGAGUUGGU
rnacentral:rRNA from 1 species